rnacentral:lncRNA from 1 species
CAGGGCUACCUUCCUUCCCACCCCUGUAGAGACCAUGGUGAAGUGGAUUUUUAACUCCUCCUUUGCCACGCACCACACGCAUCACCUCCAAGAGAGCUGAGUACAGUGUUAAGACAGUUACACUAUGCUUCGGAGCUGUGUUCACUGCUGCUUCUUUUGGCCCAUGAACAGUUUGUUAGAUCAGCCAGAGAUGUUGCCUGGCAACUCCUUAGUCCUUCAGUGAAGAAAGAGUUCUGCUUUUAUAUAUCAGUGUGCAAUCUUUUGAGAAACACGAGCUCCAUCAUGAAGGCUGAAUCCUGCAUGGAAGACGGUCAAUGAAAAACCAGUGCGUAGACUGCCAUCUACUGGACAACCAGAAAACAAACUGCUGAGUCGCCCUAGGACCUUGAGCAACAAAGGCAAAAAGGCAAAAUUAUGAAUACAUCAGUGGAACAGACAGGAGCAUGUAGGCACAACAAUGGUCCAGUUUGAAAUGAUUAUUUGCAAAAGAGUGUACAUUUCUACUUUCAAUGUUUGUACAGAGUCACUGGAG